GCUAGGUGUGGUGGUGCACACCUGCAAUCCCAGCAACUUGGAGGCUAAGGAAGGAGGAUUUUAACUUU
rnacentral:sRNA from 1 species